rnacentral:rRNA from 2 species
AUACACCGGUUCUCGUCCGAUCACCGAAGUUAAGCAGCGUCGGGCGUGGUCAGUACUUGGAUGGGUGACCGCCUGGGAAC